rnacentral:rRNA from 1 species
UACGUAGGGGGCGAGCGUUGUCCGGAUUUAUUGGGCGUAAAGAGCGUGUAGGCGGCCAGGUAGGUCUGCUGUGAAAACUCGAGGCUCAACCUCGAGACGUCGGCGGAAACCAUCUGGCUAGAGUCCGGAAGAGGAGAGUGGAAUUCCUGGUGUAGCGGUGAAAUGCGCAGAUAUCAGGAAGAACACCCGUGGCGAAGGCGGCUCUCUGGAACGCAACUGACACUGAGACGCGAAAGCGUGGGGAGCAAACAGG